rnacentral:rRNA from 1 species
UCCGACGCUCUUCCGAUCUUGUCCCUACGGGACGCAGCAGUGGGGAAUAUUGCACAAUGGGGGAAACCCUGAUGCAGCAACGCCGCGUGAAGGAAGACGGUUUUCGGAUUGUAAACUUCUGUUCUUAGUGAAGAAAAAUGACGGUAGCUAAGGAGCAAGCCACGGCUAACUACGUGCCAGCAGCCGCGGUAAUACGUAGGUGGCAAGCGUUGUCCGGAAUUACUGGGUGUAAAGGGAGCGCAGGCGGGAAGCCAAGUCAGCUGUGAAAACUACGGGCUUAACUUGUAGACUGCAGUUGAAACUGG